rnacentral:lncRNA from 1 species
GACGCGCACCGCUGGGAAAACGAAGGGUCGAUUUGCCUUUGAUAUUCCGCUGAAAAUCAUUUAGAGUUUGUGGCCUAUUGGGCCCAACCCGUGCGGACAGGGCUUAACACCCCUUUAAACAGUUGCACACCUCCAUACUAACCCCAACUUUUGAUUGGGCUUGAUCCAUUAAGCCCAAAGUUUCUUUCUCUUAUUACCUCCUACAAAAUCAAUACACCAUUUCUUAUUCACUUCAUCUAAAUUUAUUU